ACCACCCCACCACCCCGCCGCCCGCGCCCGCACCACCCGCCGCCCCACCACCCCACCACACUCGAGCUCGCCGUUUCUCGCCGACCGGAGCCCAGCCGCCCCGCCCCUCCUUCCCGCCCUCCUGGAUCCAGCCGCAAUGGCGCCGUGCCGUCGGUGGCAGAUGUGGUCGGGACCCUGGUGCGGAGAAUGACACGGAUGCGCCGUCCCACGUUGGUGGCCGGUGCGGAUCAGGGAAGCGGGCGGAGCUCCUGCAGCAUUGCAGCCAUCGUCCUCUGUGUCACCGGCCGAGCAUGCACACUACUGAGCAUGGCGACGACGGCGUGCGCGAAGUACGCGGCUGAUAGCUCGCACGCGGUUUGACCUCUUGGACUUUCAUGCGGCCGUCGCGGGUUCCGGCAUCGGCAGCGUGCGGGAGAAGCGGGGUGCGGUGGCUCCCAACACAGGAGCGCAGGUGAAGAUGUUCUAACCUGUCGUGAGCACCUGCCCUUCGUCUGUGUCUUUCUGUAGAAAUGGCACUUUACUUCUAGGUUUCUUUCCGGGAGCAAUUAGUGGAGUACUAUGCAAACAAUAAAAGUUACAAAGAUGGUGAAGAGAUCAUGUUAACCAGCUUUGCUGACCUGUUCUCUCAGGAAUUUGGACUGUGGCGAAAGCCCAGAAAUCUUGGUGAUUGAAUAAACAUGGAACUAUAAUGUUUGUGAAAUGGAGAGGUUACAUGAUGAGGGGCAUGCCUGUAUUUCACUCAGUAGUGAGAUGAUGUAUAGGUGCUUGUCAGGGACUUUAUUUGUUCCUUAUUAUGUUUUAGUCCAAAAACAUCGACACUCAUUGGGUGUUAUAAUCUCCUGGGGGCCUUUUACUUGUUUCAGUUGUAUGAUUUGUUAAAGUGGCUAUGCUGGAUUGCCCUGAAGGUGGUAUGGAUAGCACAUUCAGGAUCGACUUCCAUCUCAAUAGUGAAAUUGCUUCUGUUGUUCAAGUGAGAGAAACAUGCAAGUAUCUUAAUGAUCCACUAAAUUAUUUUUGGUAAAAGUUUGCUUCACAUCCAUUGAGUAAUAUGAAGAGAAAUCAUGGUGCUUUUCCUUUCGUCAUGUACAAAAUUGUUUCCCGUCCAUUACUUAAUUUGUAGAUGAAUAAUAGGGUACUUAUUAUUUGCGUGCAUGGAUUUCAUUCAAAUAGAAUUUUCAAAGACAAAUUAAAUGCCAUACCUUACUAAACUCAGAUUAGCGCAUCCAGCAGAGAAAAGUUGUGUACUUAUUCCUAACAGUACCAAAUAAUUUAAAUUCUGAAUGGUUUUCGUCAGCAACUAUUGUGAGUUGUCUUUGCAAUUCCACAUAGUAAUCUUAUAUUUACUAAUUGGAGGCACCAUCCGAGAUACCACGUUAAUCCUAGAAACUAAUCAAAAUUAUCCGUUGGAUAUCCCCAUUGGUUUUCUACAACCGUGGGAUUGUAUCUGGCAAGAAGUCCAUGCACUUUAUCCCACCUCCCACGUCAAAUCCUCAUCUAUAGGCUGCAAAAGUGGAAAAGAAAAAAGAAAGGUAUGUACAACCAUAUGAUGAAGAUGCUCAGGAUUCCUUGCAAAAUAUCCCACGUGCCAACCUCUUCAUGGGCUUUGCAAGAAAGAAAGACUUCUCUCACGGGCUGCAAAAACAAAACGUGUGCCAAUCCGUCCACGAGAACCCUAGCGCCACUUCUCCUCACCACGUUGAUGACAGCAUUGUGCAUCAGAUAUUUUUCAUUCUCAUUAUGAUACUUGAUGUGUGGUUGAUUGUUGGGCUAAAUGUUUUAAAGACCUGAAUUGGUUACAAGUGCACCACAUUUUGCUUUUAAUAUCUUAAUCAUAUUUCAAACCGAUAUCUUACAGUUGGCCACUUAUACCUCUGCACAUAUGCAUGCAUCGUAGUGUAUAGUGUUAUCAUCCAACCUGAGGGAAAAUGAAAAAAUGUUGUAAUAAUACGAGUAUGCAUACAUAUGUAUAAUUAACAACCUGAGGGAAAUUUAUACUCAACAAGGUUCGAAUUUAGUUCUCGAUCUUCUGUACGUAUCUUAGUAAAUUGGUCGCUACUUGCAGGAAAUGUGUCGGACGAAAAAGUUAAUAAUGCAUCAGUACAGCUUACAUCAUCAGUGGAUUUACAGUUCAAACUUCUGUGAGGGGCUGUGCUGCUGUCUGCCCAUGUCCCGAAGUGCAUUUGCUAGGAGAUAUUUAUCCUUUCUAUUUUACUUGAUCCAGUAUGCAUCCAUCCUGAUAGAUGAUAGGUUAGUCAACAAUUUGCUUUUAGCUUCUUCGGACUUUAAUAUUUUUUUGUGUCCCAAAAACUGCUGCAAGGCAUGUAUAAGGCGCAAGAGGUGAAAGAGGCAUAUACUAGACUUUAAUAAAGUUUCAGGCUUAAUUAUUUUGAUGGUCACAACUCACAACUGACAGAGUUGCAAGACUGUAUGUAUGUUAAUUAUUUUGGAUGGAAAAACACAUAGUCUGAUUGUGAUUGUGAUCUUGACUUUGUACAUCUUCUCAAUGUUUCCACUUUGAUAAUAUAGAAUUAGUAUGCAUGAAGAAUUAGUUAACUAUUUUUUAGAAUGGCAAGACUUUAAGAAAGUUGUCUGUUGUUUGUAAAUAUCGGAAUAUUAUUUGUUCCCACAAUUGUAUUGUUUCCAAAACAUUACUGACAGUGAAAUAAAUUUAAAUUCAUAUACUAUGAGGCAACAAAAUAGUAUCAUCAUGUUGAAUAAAUUUAAAUACUAUUUUUGUGUAUGGAUAAAUGGUUUUUUUGUUUUAACAAUAAACUUUCAACAACCUAAAAAAAUAUACACUCAUGAUUAGUCAUUUUUAAUAUAGUUAAUAUUAUAAAAAAUAUUCUACUAAUAAAGUAUAAUCUGUACAACUAGCCCGUGCAGACUGCACGGGUUGACGGCUAGUUAGUUAUAAUGUCAUACCUUGCACCAUUUUCAGAAAUCAACAGUUUACCCUGCCUGAUGCUUUAUCCCUUGGAAGAAAUCUUUAUGGUGCUUCCGUGCUCUCCUAAAAGCCAGUUUAAACAGACUUAAAGAGUAGUGUUAUCAACUGAUAGUAAGAGAGCACCCUCAUCUUGCUUUCAACCACUUGCUUCUGGGCUUCACUUAUAUUUUUAUGUACUGAACAAUCUCCGCAAAGUUCGCAUUCUCCUACUGAAUUAAUAGUGCCAAGUCAUAAGUCUGCAGCUAAAUUUGAGGGAGAAGAAAUUAUCAAAAGACAACAUAGGAUAAAUGUUACAUAUUCGUAGAUUAUUAAUGUUAUUAGAAAUGCACUGCCUGCAUACUAUUUGGUGUCACCAAAAAUCCUUCGACUAUAGUGUUCAUCAUCUAAUGUAUAUUCUUGUUGUUUUCCUCAUGGCCCUGUUUUAAAUGUUUUGUACAUGAUGUCCCUGAAAAAACUGGAGUUGAUAUACCCAGGCCAAGUAUCACUUUCUUUAGAAAUAAGGCUAGGAUACCUGAUGUUAACACUGUCCUAACAGUAUGCUGGGACACAUUCAUUCUGUGAUUCAUGGUAGAAAUAUUUGUUGGCUAUAUUCCAUUGAAUAGGUUAUGAUCUAAUCUGUGAAGCAAUUAAUUUCUGCAUUUUCUGUUGUUCAUUCGCGCUGUUAGAUUAUCCAGGAUCACAUUUAACUUGGUAGUACUUAAAUUGCUGCAACUUCACUUUUCUGUCUGUUUAGUGAAUAACGUGUGUACAUUUGUUCUUUCCUAUACAAUAUCAGAUCUGCCAUAUGCAUGAAGUGGAUGCACCGGGACCUCAAACCAGAGAAUUUCUUGUUUGCAAACUGGAAAGAAACGGCUGCACUGAAAGCAAUUGAUUUUGGCCUGUUUGUUUUGUUUUUCACUCCAAGUAGAGUCAAUCCUAAUAUCCUAUAUGGCUAUCGUUGAAGCUUUCCAUUUUGACCCGUCUGUCACUUGUCGAUGAUAUGGUCAGAGGACAAAGCUGAGCUGAUACAGUAGCCUGUCUUAUGCUAUAUUUAGUUUUUGUUUUGACCUUGUGAAACUUGCUACCUAUGGAUGAAACUGUGUAAUAUUGAUGAAACUAUGUAUAUGUACGGAUGAAACUUGCUACUAUUGGUAACAUGUGUUGGAUAUAUAUGUGUUCAUGACUAUUGGUAAUA